rnacentral:rRNA from 1 species
UACGGAGGAUGCAAGCGUUAUCCGGAAUGAUUGGGCGUAAAGCGUCCGCAGGUGGCUAUGUAAGUCUGCUGUUAAAGAGUGAGGCUCAACCUCAUAAAAGCAGUGGAAACUACAUGGCUAGAGUGCGUUCGGGGCAGAGGGAAUUCCUGGUGUAGCGGUGAAAUGCGUAGAUAUCUGGAGGAACACCGGUGGCGAAGGCGGCAUCCUGGACCGACACUGACGCUGAGGAGCGAAAGCCAGGGGAGCAAACGGG